GGGGGAAUAGCUCCAAUGGUAGAGCAGCAGACUCCAGAUCUGACGGCUGGGCGUUCGAAUCGCUCUUCUCCCA
rfam:Capsaspora owczarzaki ATCC 30864 unplaced genomic scaffold supercont2.2, whole genome shotgun sequence.